rnacentral:rRNA from 1 species
AUUGAACGCUGGCGGCAUGCCUAACACAUGCAAGUCGAACGGCAGCAUGAGGUGUAGCAAUACACCUUGAUGGCGAGUGGCGGACGGGUGAGGAAUGCAUCGGAAUCUGCCCAAUCGUGGGGGACAACGCAGGGAAACUUGCGCUAAUACCGCAUACGACCUUCGGGUGAAAGCAGGGGAUCUUCGGACCUUGCGCGAUUGGAUGAGCCGAUGCCGGAUUAGCUUGUUGGCGGGGUAAUGGCCCACCAAGGCGACGAUCCGUAGCUGGUCUGAGAGGAUGAUCAGCCACACUGGGACUGAGACACGGCCCAGACUCCUACGGGAGGCAGCAGUGGGGAAUAUUGGACAAUGGGGGCAACCCUGAUCCAGCAAUGCCGCGUGUGUGAAGAAGGCCUUCGGGUUGUAAAGCACUUUUAUCGGGAACGAAACAUUGUCGGUUAAUACCCGGCAAGACUGACGGUACCCGAGGAAUAAGCACCGGCUAACUCCGUG